CUCAGGAUAAUUUGCGUUUUCCUGAUGAGUAAUGAAGGUGGGGCAUCUUUUCCUGUGCUUACUGGCCACCCAGAGUUCUUUGGAAACUGCCUCUACAAGUGUUUUCAGUUUUCUUUGAACGAUCUAUCUUUUUCUUAUUCAUUUCUAGACUGUGUUUACAAAAUCACUUGCAGGCCCUUUUAGUAAUGCACGAUUUUUAAUGGCUUCUCACAAUACAUGACUCUUUUUCUUUGAUAGACAGCAAUUCUUAUUUUUAGUGGUCGACUUUUUCAAUUUUUAUGAUUGUGUUAGUUUGACAAAUACCCAAGGCAAACAACUUAAGGCAGGAAGGAUUUCUUCUUGACUCUCAGUUGUAGAUGGCUGGUUGUUGUUUCUAAGCCUGUGGGAGACCCAUACUGUAGAAGGCACAAUGAUGCAAAGUUCCCAUCUUAAGAGGGCUAUGCAGCUAAUAGGAAAAGUGCCUGCACUGGCAGACUUCAGCCUUCCUCCACUUCCAUCCACGGGACAGCGUCACCCACAUUCAAGAUGAGUUUUCCCAUUCCUUCCCACCAAGAGCAGUCAAGCACCAUGCUCAGUUUUCAGAUGGAUCCAGCUGGCCGUGGUCUGCAGCCGCACGUUAAGAAACCAAAUUCUGAAAGUUGAACCAAAUCGAAAAGCAAAACUUGAAUUUGCUGUCGGCCAGAUACUGUGACAAAUGCAUGGAAAGGAAGAGAGGUGUAGGUGCUGUGUCCGGUGUGGAAAGCCAUCGAGAGACUUUAAAGUGCAGGUGAGGACUGCAUUAGUUAUAUUCAGAUGCUGAGCCGUUUUUACCUGGGAAGAGUCUUGAGCAUCAUGGGUGUUGGUAUGCACAAAUAGUCCAAGAACCUAUCUCUCAAUGAAGAGUAAGCUGGAGAGGUCACAGCCACAAAAGCUUUGCAACACUGUGCAAGGACAGAAUCUGAUUGCAAUGGGGCAAGACUUUCUUCUGCUCUCACUUCCCCUUUACCUCACUUACAAGCACCCUAUGCGGAGACUUUCCACAGUAUUUUUGGAACAACGCCGAGAUGAAGCUGGAUUGGAGGCAUAUUUAGCUUGGCUUUAAGGCGAUAUAUUUAGUUGGCUUCCAGUCACCUCUGUACAUAGAUAAUUUAUUGCUAUUCAUAGGAAUUGCUUCUAGAAAUACUCUGUAACUGAAGUGCCAACUCAUGCCACAUCGUGAUACGAAGGCACACAGAUGGAAGUCUACCACUGGGUGCCUGUGCAGUGGAGAAUCUGGCCCUGGAAAUGAGAGGGAAAUGAGGGGCCGUCUAGACUUUCGGUUACAGCAGUGGUAGGUGGUCAGUCUGUGGGGGUUCCUCCCUUAGCAACCACGCACAACAAGUGUAAGCCAGAAUCUCCAUCACCCUGGCUAUCAGUGAGUUAGGAAAUUCUGACUCUUUAGACCACAAACCUAUAGGAGUUUUCUAAAUGGCAUGUCCUGCUGUGGGACACAGGCUUACGCAUCUCAACUAUUUAAACCUAAAAAGAAGUCUGGUAUGACAUAUUAGUGAAAGACUAUACUGCCUUUCUAUUGUUUUUUUUUCUCCUUAAAAUUGCUAUGUGAUAAAGAGACUAGCAAAGAUUAAGUAUUCAAAAUAGUAUUGGGAAAUAUUAUAAUAAUGUAUGAUAGCUAAUUAAAACAAUGUGUCAUAUAUUUGUGAUAUAUGCAGUA